rnacentral:rRNA from 1 species
UACGUAGGGUGCGAGCGUUGUCCGGAAUUAUUGGGCGUAAAGGGCUCGUAGGCGGUCUGUCGCGUCGGGAGUGAAAACUCGGGGCUCAACCCCGAGCCUGCAGUCGAUACGGGCAGACUAGAGUGCUGUAGGGGAGACUGGAAUUCCUGGUGUAGCGGUGGAAUGCGCAGAUAUCAGGAGGAACACCGAUGGCGAAGGCAGGUCACUGGGCCGCAACUGACGCUGAGGAGCGAAAGCAUGGGGAGCGAACAGG